ACGGGAGGCAGCAGUGGGGAAUAUUGGGCAAUGGGCGCAAGCCUGACCCAGCAACGCCGCGUGGAGGAAGAAGGCUUUCGGGUUGUAAACUUCUUUUGCAAGGGACGAGACGAAGACGGUACCUUGUGAAUAAGCCACGGCUAACUACGUGCCAGCAGCCGCGGUAAUACGUAGGUGGCAAGCGUUGUCCGGAUUUACUGGGUGUAAAGGGCGUGUAGCCGGGUCGGUAAGUCAGAUGUGAAAUCCACGGGCUUAACCCGUGAUCUGCAUUUGAAACUGCUGAUCUUGAGUGUCGGAGAGGCAAUCGGAAUUCCUAGUGUAGCGGUGAAAUGCGUAGAUAUUAGGAGGAACUCCAGUGGCGAAGGCGGAUUGCUGGACGACAACUGACGGUGAGGCGCGAAAGCGUGGGGAGCAAACAGGAUUAGAUCCCCUGGUA
rnacentral:rRNA from 1 species